rnacentral:rRNA from 1 species
GACGAACGCUGGCGGCGUGCUUAACACAUGCAAGUCGAACGGAAAGGCCCUGCUUUUGUGGGGUGCUCGAGUUGCGAACGGGUGAGUAACACGUGAGUAACCUGCCCCUGACUUUGGGAUAACUUCAGGAAACUGGGGCUCAUACCGCAUAGGAGCUCCUGCCGCAUGGUGGGGGCUGGAUAGUUUCGGCGGUUGGGGAUGGACGCGCGUUUUAUUAGCUUGUUGGUUGGGUAGUGGCUUACCAAGGCUUUGACAGAUAGCCGGCCUGAGAGGGUGACCAGCCAGGGUGGGACUGAGAGCCGAGACAGACUCGGGAGGGAGGAGGGGGGGGGGAAUAUCAGAGGACGGGAGAAAGAUUGAGCAAGCCAGGGUGCGGGAGUGAGGAAGGCGGGUGGGAUGUCACGUUCGCUUGUGAGGAAGGGUGAGGAAAGGAAAUGGGGAAAGAAGCACCGCUAAACUAGUU